rnacentral:rRNA from 1 species
UACGUAGGGGGCAAGCGUUGUCCGGAUUUAUUGGGCGUAAAGAGCGUGUAGGCGGCUUUGCAAGUCCGUUGUGAAAACUCGAGGCUCAACCUCGAGACGCCGGUGGAAACUGCAAAGCUAGAGUCCGGAAGAGGAGAGUGGAAUUCCUGGUGUAGCGGUGAAAUGCGCAGAUAUCAGGAAGAACACCCGUGGCGAAGGCGGUGCUCUGGGCCUGACCUGACGCUGAGGAGCGAAAGCGUGGGGAGCGAACAGG